GAACGCUGGCGGCGUGCUAACUACAUGCAAGUCGAACGCUUUUGUUUUCACCGGAGCUUGCUCCACCGAAAACAAAAGAGUGGCGGACGGGUGAGUAACACGUGGGUAACCUGCCCUCAAGCGGGGUGAUAACACUUGGAAACAGGUGCUAAUACCGCAUAACAAUCAGAGUCGCAUGAUUUUGAUUUGAAAGGCGCUUUUGCGUCACUUGAGGAUGGACCCGCGGUGCAUUAGCUAGUUGGUGAGGUAACGGCUCACCAAGGCUGCGAUGCAUAGCCGACCUGAGAGGGUGAUCGGCCACACUGGGACUGAGACACGGCCCAGACUCCUACGGGAGGCAGCAGUAGGGAAUCUUCGGCAAUGGACGAAAGUCUGACCGAGCAACGCCGCGUGAGUGAAGAAGGUUUUCGGAUCGUAAAACUCUGUUGUUAGAGAAGAACAAGGGUGAGAGUAGAAUGUUCACCCCUUGACGGUAUCUAACCAGAAAGCCACGGCUAACUACGUGCCAGCAGCCGCGGUUAAUACGUACGGUGGCAAGCGGUUGUCCGGAAUUCAUUGGGGCGUAAAGCCGAGCGCAGGCGGUUCUUCAAGU
rnacentral:rRNA from 1 species